rnacentral:rRNA from 1 species
ACGCUCGACACCUACUGGAGGCAGCAGUGGGGAAUAUUGCACAAUGGGGGAAACCCUGAUGCAGCGACGCCGCGUGAGCGAAGAAGUAUCUCGGUAUGUAAAGCUCUAUCAGCAGGGAAGAAGAUGACGGUACCUGACUAAGAAGCACCGGCUAAAUACGUGCCAGUAGCCGCGGUAAUCUGAGCGGGCGUGGCAAGGC